GUAGGAUGCAAGCAUUGUCCGGAUUUAUUGGGCGUAAAGAGUUCGUAGGCGGUUUGUUAAGUCUAGUGUUAAAUAUCGGGGCUCAACCCCGGGACUGCAUUGGAUACUGGCAGACUGGAGUGUGGUAGAGGUAAGUGGAAUUUCUGGUGUAGCGGUGAAAUGCGUAGAUAUCAGAAAGAACACCAGUGGCGUAGGCGACUUACUGGGCCAUAACUGACGCUGAGGAACGAAAGCCAGGGGAGCAAANNNNNNNAGAUACCCCAGUAGUCCUGGCUGUAAACGAUGGAUAUUAGGCGUAGCGGGUAUCGACCCCUGCUGNNNNNNNACGUAACGCGAUAAAUAUCCCGCCUGAGUAGUACGGCCGCAA
rnacentral:rRNA from 1 species